AUCAGUACCGGGAUGACUGAGGAACUUCUGAGUUGAGGUGAUUAGUGGCUGUGCUAAUUAGGAGCAGUGAGAUCCUGAAGCCAAGCACACAAAUCCUCUCAGGGCUCAGCCAUCCUGCAAGAGCCGAUCCCAGCAAGGGAGCAGGAGGGGAUGCAGAGGGACUCAAUUAAUGAGAUCCAUCCGUAACCCUCCUGCUUUGGGCUGGGCUUUACAGCAAAUAUUGAUCCCAGCCUGGAGAACUUAAAACGGGAGAGGAAAAGCCAAGGAGAGCUGGCACUUGACCCCCAGGAGCUUUCUGGACUUUUCUUCUCUCUGCAGAGCACAAUAAAGUGAAUGUUUUCCUUUGGAGAGGAAACAGACAGCCCUGGAGCUAUUUCAUUUCCCUGCUCUAUGUCUGUUGCCAUGACUGUUCUCCCAGAUCACUGUUUCCAGAGUACACACUUCACCAAUAUAAUUUAAAAGACAGUAUUUUGUUCACUGCCUCGAGUAGGAAGAACUUUCCCUUAAAAACAUUUCCAAUUCAAUUGCUCAGAUGGAGGGUCAAAGGAGCAGAAUAUGAUGAGACCAAAAGAAAAAAAUAUCUGAAUAUUUUCACCCUCAGAAAGAAGCAUCAGAAACACUUGCAGAUGUUGCUGCACCAUAAAUCACUUUGAAAGGAACUUUACUGAGGAAAUUAUGACCGGUCCCAACAGGGAAAAGCAGAGAUUCUCUGUGUAAAUAUUUGUCUUUCCACUUAUUGCUCCAGCCUGAUUUUUCUGUGAUUUAUGGGUUCUGUUCAUAUGAUUUCUGAGCAUUUAAUGGAUGAGAUUUUGUGUGUCCUGCACUGAGUAUUCCCUAAUCAGCUGUAAUAGUGGGAACAGAGUAAAAACUGCAUCAGCCCCAGCAGAGUGAAACAGCCUUUUCCUCACCAAACUGCUCCUGGCAAGGGGAGGGAUUUUUAACUCUGCUUUUUGCUUAAAGUGCAGCUGGAAGCAGAAGUGGAAAUAGUUCAUUUUAAUGAAGUCAAUACCCAAUUUAACAACAGAGAGUAAUCUUGGCAGCAUAAUUACCACAGAGAAUCCAGAAAGGGAAUCAGCCUUUCACUUCUGCAAGGACUCAGCUUUGCCUGGCCUGGAAUUGCUCCUGCUCAUCCAAGGGGAAGCUGGAAAAUUGGAGGUCAAACUGCUCAAAAUACUCGGUGUGAUUCCUCAAAAGCAUUUCCUGGAGCUCCUUGGUGUGGUUGGGAGAGAGCUUGGCUGCCUGGAGCAGAGAAUUCAGGGAUGGAGGCAUUGGAGGAGUCAGCUGGAGUCUCCAAACUGGAAUUUUAUGGAUGAAGUCAGCUUAGCUCAGAGCUGGAACUCUCAUUUUCUAGGAAAAGGCUCUCUGGGAAUCGCUUGUGUGGUGCCUCUGUUGCAUUCAGAAUUCCAAGGAUCAGGAUCCCUGGCAGCAUUCUGAAAGAAUAAAGAAUAAAGAUCAGCACUAAACCCAGGGGAAAAAGGGACCUUGGAUCAUCCAUAAAGACCCUGAGAACCAGAGCUCAGUCUGAGGGCAGCAGCAUUUGGACAGCUCCAUGCAAUGAGGCCACAGAACAAAGCCAGGUGAAAUUAAAGCAAGGCUGUACUGAAAUCAAGCAACCAAAGUGCACUCUGAGAAACAGAGAAAUAUUCCUGAAUAAAAAGCAUCCACCAGAGGGGCAGAAAGGUUGAUACAACUGUUAUUUACCCUUCCCAUGCUGGCUGAGCUCCAGCUGAGCAGCAGAACCAUCUCCUUCCAAAGGAUUCCUGUGGUCCUUUGUAGGCAAGCUGCAGGAAUUCCUGGAGAAAAUGGAUUGUGCACUUUAUCUUUGAGCCACCCAAAACAUGAAGAAUCUUCAGAGUCUGGCCUUGUGAGAAGUCACUGAAGCUCCCUUCUAUGCCCAGUGAAGUUGAAAUUUGCUCUAAAAACCAUCAAAAUUGCCUCCUCUCGAAAGGACUGCUCAAUCUUUGGGAGAGCUUUAGUAAUAAAGGAGCUGACACUAAACAGGGUUAAAAUUCUCCACAGGUAAAAGCUGCAUCUUUCAAAAAUAAACUCUCCACUGAAUUUGCAGCUGAGGCUUCUUUCACUCAGGGUCAAUCCUAUA